GUUUGGAAGAAGCUUUCUUUUACAUUCAAUAUGAACUUUCUGUACAUUCAUUUUUUCUGCAAGGUAGUCCUAUGGAAUGAUAGCUAUACACAUUGAGUAAUAUGAUUACCAAACAAUUCAUUUAUAGACUAAGAUCAAAACAUAAUGUGUGCUCAUUUAUCCAAGACACCAAAUAACCCACUAGUAUCUUAGCUAUAAAAAAAUUUCGGGUCACUUGGUUUUAUAGUUGGGCAGAAUUCUGAGUAUAAAAGAAUCAGCUCGCAAGUGUACUGCAUUGGUGAUGAUUUACAGCUUCGCCUUUUGGGGUUUUUGUACCAAUUAUUUAAAUGUCAUAUUCGUGGUUUACUUUGAUGAAGAAAAACAAUGUGUUCUAUAGAAUUGGACGGCAAGACUUUAGUUGCUGACUUUUGCAGCAUACUGUUUUCUCUCUAGUGUCCCAAGAGGUUUAGGAAAUGCAAGGGCUUCGCUGACUGAUCUCUGGGAUGCUAGGAAGGUUACCUAUAGAAGAUCGUUAUCCUGUGUUUGCCUAGUUAGGGUCUAUAUUUAUGAGUGGUUUUAGUGUGUUUUUAGCUGAAGGGAUUUAAUUAUAAUUACUUCUGUAAAUUGUUUAAUUGUUCAUCAUUUCAAACGGUUUCAUUUUUUAGAGUUGAUAUUAAUUUAAUAAAAAAUGUUUUUUAAGAAAAUAAUGUUUGUUCUCAAUAGUGAUUCUAACAAAAAUUAUUAGGGAAAAAAAGGUUGGAGAUAAGAAUACAGGUGAAGUUUUAGAGGGAAGGAAGGGACUAUUUGAGGAAGGAAAAAAAAGGAAAUAAGGGACGAAAAGUAGAUAACGACAGAGAAUUAGGGAGAAUUUUUUAGGGUUAAAAUUGAAAGGGAGGAAUGAACUUGGGGUAGGACAAAAAAUUUGGAGAGGAUAUAAGAAAAACUAGAUAUAAGUUUUAGCUAGAGAAUAAAGUUAGAAAGAAGGGACGAAUUUUGGAUAGA